ACGCACGCUGGCGGCGUGCUUAACACAUGCCAGUCGAACGGUGAAGCGCCUUCCUUUUUGGUGGGUGUGGAUGAGUGGCGAACGGGUGAGUAACACGUGAGUAACCUGCCCCCUUCUUCUGGAUAACCGCAUGAAAGUGUGGCUAAUACGGGAUAUUCUGGGUCUGUCGCAUGAUGGGUCUGGGAAAGAUAUUGUUUCGGUGGGGGAUGGGCUCGCGGCCUAUCAGCUUGUUGGUGGGGUGAUGGCCUACCGAGGCGGUGACGGGUAGCCGGCCUGAGAGGGUGGAUGGUCACACUGGGACUGAGACACGGCCCAGACUCCUACGGGAGGCAGCAGUGGGGAAUAUUGCACAAUGGGCGCAAGCCUGAUGCAGCGACGCCGCGUGAGGGAUGGAGGCCUGCGGGUUGUGAACCUCUUUCGCCAGUGAAGCAGGCCUGCCUCGUUUGUGGGUGGGUUGACGGUAGCUGGAUAAGAAGCGCCGGCUAACUACGUG
rnacentral:rRNA from 1 species